rnacentral:lncRNA from 1 species
UCAUGGCCACCAAUCAGCAUGUACGGAAGUGUAAAAUCUGGCAGAGUACUGCAAGCUGUAGACAUAGUUUUUACCCUCGAUGUUUUCCCCUUCUCAGGCCCUUGGCUGAAAACCAACUGUCUGAUGCUUAUGAAUUCUCCUGUAUUUGCUGCUAAUUAUCACCCUAUUCGGCAAGAAUGCAGUGAUUAGAUAGAAACAUGCUAAAUUUCCUGCAUGCAACCUUUUAGCUGUUUGACACAUUGUUGUAUCGCCAUGAAGCCUGAAUUUUCCCCUUCUUUUGACAUGCCUGAAGUUUGUGAAUUAAAAGAUUGAAGUAAUUCACUGCAUAAAGAAGGAAGACAUAUUGACAUAAGAAUACUCAGAUCACAGCGUGGUGGUUUCUCCUCCCAGAGAGAGGGAGGGAGAGAUAGAUGUGUGCUCGGUAGACGCCUUCUGAGAUUCCUUGGGCAGUCUCCUGUAUUUGAGCAUGGGGUCAGUAUAGCUUACAUGAUAUGCCAGUGCUCCUGGCCAAGUUUUUUUUAAAAAAAGCUACAUUUGCAUUUUGUGAGACAUAAUGUAAGCAAAGUAACUUCAUCAGGAAUCAAUCCUCUGUCCAUACCUCUAGCAUAGGGCUCUGAGGUAAAGCCUACACUAAUGCACUAUUUCAAGAUCUAUAGUUUGAUACUGCAUAUAGGUAAUAACAUUUGUUGACAUAAAAUCCAGUGGUCCAUUCUGAGGUCAUGGUUUGCCUACUUUGAUUUCUUCUUGCUGUCUCAGACCUGGAAAAUGAUAUAUUUAACAUUUCAGCUUGACAUGAAAGUGCUGUAUAUAGUAUUUGGAUUCGUUUACAAUUCAUAACUAGUAAGUUGAGUUUAGUUUUGGAUUCUGGUUGACCAUCACUUGAUCAAUACGGAUAUGGCAGAUGAUAACUGAUGAGUAUUUUGACUUGUCAGCCUGAGGUCUCAUGUAGAGUCCAUGAUCGAUUUGCUAUUUCCAAUUUCCAUGCCCAUUGUACAUUGUAUUGAAUUCCAGCUGACAUCAUGAAAGAAUAUUUUAUGAGAGUUUUAGUAAUAGGGUGGUCAAAGGAAACUUCUGUUUCAGACAUGAUUUUAUUAUGUCUGUCCUUAUAGCAGUGGGUUUACUUGCUGUCAAAGUACACUACCUUGACUUUGCAAUUUGGUCGUUUUCUCCCGUGCAGGUUGCAAGACUACUUUGAGCUUGCAAUUUGACCCUUGUUCGAUUUCUCCAUUGCAGGUCGCAAAGCGGUUGGAAAAGUUCAAGACAACAAUUUUCACUCAGAUGAGCAUGCUUGCCAUCAAGCAUGGAGCAAUAAACCUUGGCCAGGGCUUUCCAAAUUUUGAUGGCCCAGACUUUGUGAAAGAAGCUGCAAUUCAAGCUAUCAAUGCUGGGAAGAAUCAGUAUGCAAGAGGGUUUGGUGUGCCUGAACUGAACUCGGCUAUUGCUGAAAGGUUCCUGAAGGACAGUGGAUUGCAAGUUGACCCUGACAAAGAAGUUACUGUUACAUCUGGAUGCACUGAAGCAAUAGCUUCAACAAUACUAGGUCUGAUUAAUCCUGGCGAUGAGGUGAUAUUGUUUGCUCCAUUCUACGAUUCAUAUGAGGCCACACUGUCGAUGGCCGGUGCCAAUGUAAAGGCCAUUACCCUCCGUGCUCCAGAUUUCGCAGUCCCGCUUGAAGAGCUGGAGGCGGCAGUCUCCAAGAACACCAAAGCGAUAAUGAUAAACACACCGCAUAAUCCAACUGGGAAAAUGUUCACUAGAGAGGAGCUUGAAUUUAUUGCCACCCUCUGCAAGGAAAAUGAUGUUUUGCUGUUCUCUGAUGAGGUCUAUGACAAAUUGUCGUUUGAGGCUGAUCACAUAUCAAUGGCUUCUAUCCCUGGCAUGUAUGAGAGGACUGUGACCAUGAACUCUCUGGGGAAGACAUUCUCUCUUACAGGAUGGAAGAUUGGGUGGGCAAUCGCACCGCCACACCUGACAUGGGGUCUUAGGCAAGCACACUCAUUCCUGACAUUUGCCACCUGCACACCAAUGCAAGCAGCAGCGGCAGCAGCUCUGAGAGCACCAGAUAGCUACUAUGAGGAACUGAAGAGGGACUACAGUGCAAAGAAGGCUAUACUGUUAGAAGGACUAGAAGCUGCAGGGUUUAUUGUUUACCCAUCGAGUGGAACAUACUUCAUCAUGGUGGACCACACCCCAUUCGGUUUCGACAAUGACAUAGAGUUCUGCGAGUACUUGAUUCGUGAAGUCGGCGUGGCCGCUAUACCACCGAGCGUAUUUUAUCUCAACCCUGAGGAGGGGAAGAACCUGGUGAGGUUUACCUUCUGCAAGGAUGAAGAUACGCUGCGUGGCGCGGUCGAGAGGAUGAAGACGAGGCUCAGGAAGAAAUGAAGGGCGGGGAAAAUUCCAUGUGGCUUGGUGAUUGCUG